rnacentral:rRNA from 1 species
GGGAGGCAGCAGUGAGGAAUAUUGGUCAAUGGACGAGAGUCUGAACCAGCCAAGUAGCGUGAAGGAUGACUGCCUAUGGGUUGUAAACUUCUUUUAUACGGGAAUAAGUGAGGCACGUGUGCCUUUUUGUAUGUACCGUAUGAAUAAGGAUCGGCUAACUCCGUGCCAGCAGCCGCGGUAAUACGGAGGAUCCGAGCGUUAUCCGGAUUUAUUGGGUUUAAAGGGAGCGUAGGCGGACGCUUAAGUCAGUUGUGAAAGUUUGCGGCUCAACCGUAAAAUUGCAGUUGAUACUGGGUGUCUUGAGUACAGUAGAGGCAGGCGGAAUUCGUGGUGUAGCGGUGAAAUGCUUAGAUAUCACGAAGAACUCCGAUUGCGAAGGCAGCCUGCUGGACUGUAACUGACGCUGAUGCUCGAAAGUGUGGGUAU